UGCAAAUACAUAAUGUGGGACCUAUAAUUUAGAUAUAAAGAGUUUUUGGUCAAAGUAUUAUCAAUCUAUAAAUAAUAGUAAACCCUAGCAAAGGAACAACAUCACUAUAGAAGACAAAGGCAUGAUGAAAACUCCCUCAACUUUCUUGGUCCUCUUCUCUCUUCUUUUGAUUGUGAGUAGUAAUGAAGCUAGAAGUAAUCCAGGAAAAUAUUGGAGAAGUAUAAUGAAAGAUGAGCCCAUGCCAAAGACCAUUCGAGAUAUAUUGCCUCUUGAAGAUCUUAAGAAAGCAAAUAAGGAUCUAUUCAUCAGAAACUUUGAUUUAAAACCGAAUCUCAUAAUUUAUCACUCUCAUGUGAUGUACACUGAAAAAAAUCAUCGAUUAGUCUCAUCCUCUUCAUCAUCUGAUAAGUUACAUUAAUUAGUCGAAUAUGUUUAUAUAUGUUUUCUUAUGAAAAAAUGGGAUCUUGAUUCUUAUGUAUGGAUUGUAGUUUUGUUAUUAGUGGUUAUGGACUUAUUAUAGUUCAUAAAUAGUUUAAUUUUAGCAUCAUUAAUUCUGGCCCUA